rnacentral:rRNA from 1 species
ACGGGAGGCAGCAGUGGGGAAUAUUGCACAGUGGGGGAAGCCCUGAUGCAGCGACGCCGCGUGAGUGAUGAAGUAUUUCGGUAUGUAAAGCUCUAUCAGCAGGGAAGAUAAUGACGGUACCUGACUAAGAAGCACCGGCUAAAUACGUGCCAGCAGCCGCGGUAAUACGUAUGGUGCAAGCGUUAUCCGGAUUUACUGGGUGUAAAGGGUGCGUAGGUGGCAUGGCAAGUCAGAAGUGAAAAUCCGGGGCUCAACCCCGGAACUGCUUUUGAAACUGUCGAGCUAGAGUACAGGAGAGGUAGGUGGAAUUCCUAGUGUAGCGGUGAAAUGCGUAGAUAUUAGGAGGAACACCAGUGGCGAAGGCGACUUACUGGACUGUAACUGACACUGAGGCACGAAAGCGUGGGGAGCAAACAGGAUUAGAUACCCUGGUA